UAUGUAGGCAGCGAGCGUUGUUCGGAAUUACUGGGCGUAAAGAGUGUGUAGGCGGUGCUCCCAGUCUGUUGUGAAAUCUCCCGGCUUAACUGGGAGGGUGCAGCGGAAACUAGAGUGCUAGAGGGUGGGAGAGGUAAGCGGAAUUCCUGGUGUAGCGGUGAAAUGCGUAGAUAUCAGGAGGAACACCUGUGGUGUAGACAGCUUACUGGACCACUUCUGACGCUGAGACACGAAAGCGUGGGUAGCAAACAGG
rnacentral:rRNA from 1 species